rnacentral:rRNA from 1 species
GGUGCUACCCUGAACACACCCAAUCUUGUCUGAUUUGGAAAGCUAAGUAGGGUUGUGCCUUAUUAAUACUUAGAUGGCAAUAUCGGGGAUGUCUAAAAUAGUUCCAAGGGAAAAAGGAACAUUA